GCCGUAUUUGGGAAACAGGCUAGAGCAGACAGAAUAUCUGCAACUGCAUUUCAAAACCUGUUUGAUGUAAACUCUGCAGGAAACCAGAUUAGGAAGCAUUUUCUUUAAAAUUUCCAUUCCAACAGUUAGCUCAAACCUAUCUGACAACAUAGGACUUGGAAUUUAAGAUAAAACAUAAAAAUGUGCAACCAUUGAGUGAAGCACAGGAAAAGUUCUGCCCCAGCUGAAAAACAGACUGCCUUUUUAGAAACUGAUAUCAGGUGAAACUAGUUGA